CAUAAAAUUGUAGGUACUUUCAAGAAAUAUAGUUAACUGUAAGUGCUGUAUUUUAAUAAUCUAUCAAAAAUCAAAAUCAUCAGGAUAAUAUUAGGUAUUGAUUUUCAGACAAGAAUUAGAUUACAGUGAUGGUCAAAAGCAUUUAGAUAUUGCUUUAAAAUCUACAGAUAAGGUAUGGCAGUUUCAUUUUAAAGAACAAGAUGUUAAAGUUUUAUGAUAAAAUUGUCAUCAGAAAUACUGUCCACUUCAGUAUUUACAUAGGAAAAUAUUGGAGGAUGAAGCUCUACCUACUGCCUCAGGUUAAUUUAAAUUCUGAAUUGCAACAACAGCAACAAGCAAGAAGGGCACCAUUAAAUGAAUAUUAUACACAUAAAGCAACAACACAAUAAAAAACCAAAAUAUGAACACCAGCAACUAAAACAGGAACCAUUAAAUGAAUAUUAUACACAGCAAUAACAGCAUCAAAUAAUGGAAAUAAUGGACCCCACUGCUCAAAUCAAAAACAAAAUUUCAGCAUUACCACUUUAUUGGUUAUAUCAAUAAAAGAAAUUAUUGAGUUUAUGAGUCUAGAUCCUACAAGCAAGCAGAUCUAUCACAUACUUUAAAAUGAAGAUUUAU